CUUUGGCGAAUUUGCAAAGGAUCCGGUUGAAAGAAAGGCGUGUUCCUAGAAUUAUGCAGUCCGAUCUUCACCAGCAACAGCUGCAGUGGCAGAAACCUCAAAUUGGGUGGCUCAAAUGUAACGUGGACGCGGGUUUUCACAAUGAACCAAAUACAACAAGCGCUGGGUGGUGUCUACGUGAUCACCGGGGACAGUUUGUGACGG
rnacentral:lncRNA from 1 species